ACACACACACUUGGCCUGGAGCCAAGCCCCUCCUUUUCUUUUUUGUCAAGUUUUGUUCUCCUUCUUUUAAUCUCCACAUUCACACAGACACAGACUGCCUCAGAUGUACUUUAUAUCUUGUCCACUAUUUCAUCGACGAAAGGUUAUUCGAGUUUCUGCAGAAACAGCUGCUUUCUUCAGAGGCAUCGCAGCGAUAAAGGCGAGGCCGGAGACAAGUUGAAUUAAACCUUCUCCCAGAGCAGUGAUGGCAGCAGCAGCCUUGGCCAGAGGCACCAGGCUCCUGUGCUUAACAUUCUGCAUGAUGUGCUUAUUUGGCUCUGGAAUCUCAAACGAACUGAAGGAGAAACUGAGGAUCCUGAAGGAGCAACUCUGGAGAGAGAAGCAAUUAAUAGAAUCUGGAAA